UACAGAGGUCUCAAGCGUUGUUCGGAUUCAUUGGGCGUAAAGGGCGCGUAGGCGGCGGGGUAAGUCGGGUGUGAAAUCUCAGGGCUCAACCCUGAAACUGCACUCGAUACUGCUCUGCUUGAGGACUGGAGAGGAGACUGGAAUUCACGGUGUAGCAGUGAAAUGCGUAGAUAUCGUGAGGAAGACCAGUGGCGAAGGCGGGUCUCUGGACAGUUCCUGACGCUGAGGCGCGAAGGCCAGGGGAGCAAACGGG
rnacentral:rRNA from 1 species